rnacentral:lncRNA from 1 species
CGAAAUGUAAAGUUUACAAAAACUUAAAAUGGUUCACAAACAAACAUACAUUCUCCUUGUGUACUCGUUUCUCUCUGCGCUGGAUACUUUGAGUGUAUAAGGAUUCUGUAGAAAUGAUUUGCGACCCUCAAAAACUAACUAAAACUGCUAUAUAUAGACAUUCGAAAAUAAACUGCCCUAACGGUCGAACAUUAUCCGAAUGCCAAGUGUCCUGCCACGUACAUCUUACAUGCACAUAACUGCUCCUUAGAACGGUUAUCCAUCUUGCUCGAAGUCGAACUGGUUUAGUGAAGAUUUGUUCAGAAAUUAUGCUAAGUCCAGAACUCUUGCUGCCUCGACUUCGACUCGUCCAUACACCAGUUCGAAUUGCCCAAUAACUCGAAGUCCUCUUUCUUGUCUUAGCUUUGUACUUCGUAAAUACUCCUUUGAACCUGGGAAUUCCUUCUUAAAGACUCUCCUCUCUUUUCGAUUCGAGCAGGUCCUGGCCAGACUCUUGCUCUGUAAUACGCUCCGAACCUCGAGACGACAUCCAAUGCAUACUUAGAACAUAUUUUAGCUC